GCACUGCUUCGACCGCCCACCCCCAUGUUCUGAUUUCUAUGCUCUUCCUUUGCCUUGUGGGGCCUUGCAACGAAGGGGCCUACGCUUGCCCAGCCUGAAGAGUGAUGUCCUAUAGCACCUGCUGGUUCUUCAAGCAACUUUUUUCUGUCCACAAAACAAUCAGGACAAGUCUAUCACCCUCAACUCUAAGAAGAAUUGGGGGAGGGAAAGGGGGGUGGGGGGGUACUGAGCCCAAGUUAUCAGAUUCUAUUUCUCCAUCUCUCACUCACUCCCUUGCUCCCUAUCUCUGUCCCCCCGACCCCACCCCCACCCCCAAGUGUUUUUGAUCAUUUGCUUUCUAGAGCCCUGUCAUACAGUAGCUGGUCUCCUCUGUGUCGCACACUUUGCAUGACGUGUGGUGGUUGACGGGGAGCAUGGUUCCAGUCUUAGACGUAAAGCCUCAGUCACUUCUCCAUGGUGUGCUAUUCCCAUCCUCUCAGAUCCAAGGUGACCACAGUCGUUAGUUCCAUUACUGUGCAGCUACUUCUGGCUUUACUAAUGAACAGGUGAUGAUAGUGAGGAAAGGCAGUGGCAGAGAUCCAAAGUUGACUUCUAUAUGUUUCGAGUUUGGCAGAUCCAUUGAAGCCAGGUUAGCAAAUUCACCCAAGAUAUUGUCACCUACAGUAUCUGCAGCAAAAGUCAAUCUGAGGUUUUCCUUAUAGAAACAAGAGAAAGGCCAAAAUCAUUAACUUUUUAUUUGAUGUUAAUUUUGGCUAAAUAUGAAAAGUUAACAAAAAUUGGACCAGAGUGAGGUUUCAAUUUAACCGUUCGAAACAGCACAUAUAAUCAAAACAAUCUGCUGUAAGCAUCACAGUAAUUAUUUCACCUGGGAGGUUCUUUAAUCCAAAGCUCUUUAAGGGGGUUAAGCAAUUUUCCCAAGGUUACAGACACCGUGUCCCACCUGGGAUAAGAGUCCUGUGAUCCAAAAUCCCAUUCCCAAUCCCUGGCCCCCAGCAGCUGCUCUACACGACUGUUAACUGGCAGGACUGGUCUGGUCUGCUUUUGAACAACAGACUCCCUCGCCUUUUAAUGAAGUGCCAAAUAAUAACCUACUCUACAAUGCUGCCAGGAAGCAAGGAACGAAAGGGAAGAGAGAAAGGAGAAACAUAUGACCUCUUGUUUGUAGUCUGGGUUACUCACAUACAUUUCUAUACAUUUCUAUACACAAGACAAAUCCCAAUUAUAGGCAGUGGUAGCAAGGAGGACAGUUCAAUUAGACCAAAAACACUUUUUCAAGCAGAGACAUGCUGUCAGCUCAGUAAAUAUACCACCAUGUUCUGCCUACCAAUAGUGCUCUCUUCUCUGACUGUUUAGCGCGAGGCUGGUUUCGACCCUUUGACCGAGAUCUUUGAUUGACGGAAUGUGCUAUGCCUUUCCAUCGUACUGGAAUAAUAUUACUGUUUUGUUCAAAUGUUUUUUCUAUUUUCAUUAAUUUUUUUCUCAGGGUGCUGUGAUCGAAGCCUGUACCAGAGCAAUCUCUAUUUUGCGCAUUUAUUUAAGAAACACAAACAUUUCUAUUUGACAAGCAUAUUGCCAUAUACUGUAUCUUUGCCCUCCCUGCCUAUGUACAACACCACUAUAGCCAUGUAUCCAGACUCAGUCCUUGCUUAGUCAUUUUGGUUCUUUAUUCCCAUGUUGGGUACAGUUGCCUGUUUAGCUCACGCUUCCACACACAGGUGGUCAUGGCUUUGAUCAUGAUGUUCAUUAAAUCCCUGGCUAAUCUCUCUCAGAUGGGCCCUUCCCCUAGGCUGGGGCCUCUCACAAGCUGAGUUUAUUGUCUAAUUGGUUUAGAUUGGAACCACACCCUUCCCCCCUCUACAACCCUAAACCCCUUGUAGAUCUAUCUAACAUGCUGCAAUUGGGACCUGUAGAGCAGAUGCCAUCCAAUCAGCAUCCAGUUUGCUAUUAGGUGUGGGAGGGAUGCUGAAAUCGGUUUUUCGGUUGGUCUCUUAAUCCAAAUAUGGUUUCAACUACAGUAAGAAUGGCUUUCACUACAAGACUGUUACCAAUCAUAAAACAAAAAUGGUUUCAUUGUGGCCAGGAGAGGAAAUUGGAACUUAGUUUUGUAACCGGCUUGGUUUAAACCUAGAGUUCCGAUAUGUUACCUUCCCCCCAUUGCUCUUUCUCUCCCAGAUUGGAAUUGAAAAGCAGUUUCCCAGCAACUCUGCCUCCCAUCACAAGAAGCUCUUAAUAAGAGAGCAUCUCAAAUCACAGUGGUAACUCACCCAUACAAGCUCGCCUUGAUUAAACAUGUAUUACAUCUUAGGGCACUGUGAAGUAAUAAUUUUGGUCACACAAUGAUUAUUUCAUACCCUCUCAGACAAAGAUGUAGAUUUCACUAAUGCUCCUUUGAAAUGAGACAGCUUUUGCUCAGGGUGUCUCAACUAGUAUUAUACAGGGAGAGAGUUAGUAGGGGUAGGAGCAGGGGGAGAGAGUUAGUAGGGGUAGGAGCUGGGGGAGAGAGUUAUUUAGAGUUAGUAGGAGCUGGGGAGAGAGUUAGUAGGGGUAGGAGCAGGGGAAGAGAGUUAGUAGGGGUAGGAGCAGGGGGAGAGAGUUAGUAGGGGUAGGAGCAGGGGGAGAGAGUUAGUAGGGGUAGGAGCUGGGGGAGAGAGUUAGUAGGGGUAGGAGCUGGGGGAGAGAGUUAGUAGGGGUAGGAGCUGGGGGAGAGAGUUAGUAGGGGUAAGAGCAGGGGGAGAGAGUUAGUAGGGGGUAGGAGCAGGGGGAGAGAGUUAGUAGGGGUAGGAGCUGGGGAGAGAGUUAGUAGGGGUAGGAGCAGGGGGAGAGAGUUAGUAGGGGUAGGAGCUGGGGGAGAGAGUUAGUAGGGGUAGGAGCUGGGGGAGAGAGUUAGUAGGGGUAGGAGCAGGGGGAGAGAGUUAGCAGGGGUAGGAGCAGGGGGAGAGAGUUAGCAGGGGUAGGAGCAGGGGAAGAGAGUUAGUAGGGGUAGGAGUAGGGGGAGAGAGUUAGUAGGGGUAGGAGCUGGGGAGAGAGUUAGUAGGGGUAGGAGCUGGGAGAGAGAGUUAGUAGGGGUAGGAGCAGGUGAAGAGAGUUAGUAGGGGUAAGAGCUGGGAAUGGGCAUUCUAAGCCACAGGGGUUGGGCUGGAUUGGGUCAAAAUAAGAGGUUUAUAAAUCACUAUUUUCCUUUCUGAGAAGCAAGUGUUAAAAGGAGCCGAGCAACGUCUGUAUCCGCACUGUUCUUCAUGAAUGUAUACCCACCAUCUGCACCAGCCAAGCUGCCCCUCCAGGGGAGUUGAGCAAACCCAAUAUUUAUGUGUAGAGUACAAUUUGAGUCUUGGUCUCCCCAAACUGCCCACAUUACUGCUAGUCCACCCUGAUGAUGGUUAUCAGUUGGAUCCAAACUUCCAAAGACAAAUAUCACAUGAUCCAAAGCAUCCCAAUAUCAAUGACCUCCAUCAAUCAUCUGGCUUAGGUCCAAGACUUCUCUGUACGGGCACGCAAGGCUGCACUUUUGAAAUUCCAUUAUGCUGCUGGAAAAAUAAACCCUGAAAACAAGUCUCUUCUUGAUAUGAAAUGGCUUUCCAGUGUAUUGUGACAAUUUUUUUGUCGUCUGAUUCUUGUCUAGCUGGUUGUCCAAAGCUUAUUUUUUUAAUACAAUGUGGAAUAUAGCUGUUUCUUUUGUGGUCGUAAACAAAAUAGAAAAUGUAGUCUGCAGAACAAUAUGUCAUGGACAUGUGAGAGCUUUCGCGCAUUCUCCUCCUAUACAACAUAGCCUACAGCCCUACAGCCCUACAGCCCUACAGCCCUACAGCCCUAAACCAUAUCAGGUUCAUCGAGAUUGUAUAGGGACCAGCUCAAACUGAAAUGGUAAACCAAUACAUUCUGCUCCAAGAGCAAAAAACAUUUUCCUUAAUGGUCUUUUCCAGCAAAGCUUACGCAAGAAAAACCAUUCUCAAUCCUCUUCUUCAUUACAUCACAAGGCCUGAGUAAUGUUCCUAUGCACUUGUUUGCAUGUUCCCGCUGGUAUGUUUGUUCCGAGAAGAACGUACCACUUUUGUGUUCAGCACCUUUUCCACUUGUCAAAAUUGUGCAUUUGGCUGGGAGUGUGUACGGAGUAGGAAUCAGCAGAGGGCUAAAUGUGUAGGACUGGUGGAGACAAGAAAAGGGAGUCUAGCAGCUAGCAAGCUAGUGAUGAAAAUGCCAGCUUAACCAGGGGUCACUGUCUCGCUCCAGCUGUAGGCAGUCCCCAUAACCAGUCAGUGAAAACCACUAGGUUUUUAAUCUUCAAUGUUGCUGUCACGUUCUCUCAGCUCUUGACAAGCUACAGUAAAUCCCCUUUUCAAACGUAACACGACCUGCCAAGGAGAAAGAAAAACGACUUAGCUAGCAUGCAAUACAUUCCAUAGUUUUACCUUAUGCAUCUAAGCCCUAUAAUACAGACAGAUUGAGGGUGUCUGCAGGAUCAAGCCCAAUGCAUUCACACAUUUCCACCGGCUGGGCCACCCAAAGGGUAACUAGAUUUCCCAUGGGACUUGAGAAUGAUCUGUCAUUAUCUCACAGGCUCAAAUGAGACCUUCAGACUUCAGAAUAGAGAAGCCUCCUCCUCCCAUUGACUGGAUCCACCCCAAUACCAUUCAGAGUAGUCGAAGUAGAGUUCCAGAGUGUGUAGGCUUACAUGCCAUUGCAACAGUGUUACUUACUAGGUCACAAGCAAACUGCAGUUAAAAAAAAUGUAUUAAAGCUGAACUUCUUCACUUCUGUCUAAGAUGUGUGCUCAUAUUACUCACCAGGCCAAAUGUACAGUCCCUGUCUCUGUUUUGAUGUUGAACUGGGCAACAAAAAAAAAAAAAUACAUAAAUAGAUAAAUGAAUUAAACAAGUGUCAGAAAUUGUUGAAAUACUGUGUACAUAUUUGAACUUUUGGUUUCUAAUUUAUAAAAUAUAAGCUUUGGCUCUUGGAGUACUUAUUUUAUUUUUCCUUUCAUGCGUAGCUUUGUGUUUUUAUUUUCUAUUUCUGUAAAGUGUG
rnacentral:lncRNA from 1 species